CGGCCACACUGGAACUGAGACACGGUCCAGACUCCUACGGGAGGCAGCAGUGGGGAAUAUUGUGCAAUGGGGGAAACCCUGACACAGCGACGCCGCGUGAGCGAAGAAGGCCUUCGGGUCGUAAAGCUCAAUAGUAUGGGAAGAUAAUGACGGUACCAUACGAAAGCCCCGGCUAACUACGUGCCAGCAGCCGCGGUAAUACGUAGGGGGCGAGCGUUGU
rnacentral:rRNA from 1 species